rnacentral:rRNA from 1 species
UCGGGAAUUUUGGGCAAUGGGCGAAAGCCUGACCCAGCAACGCCGCGUGAAGGAUGAAGUAUUUCGGUAUGUAAACUUCGAAAGAAUAGGAAGAAUAAAUGACGGUACUAUUUAUAAGGUCCGGCUAACUACGUGCCAGCAGCCGCGGUAAUACGUAGGGUGCGAGCGUUAAUCGGAAUUACUGGGCGUAAAGCGUGCGCAGGCGGUUCUAUAAGACAGAUGUGAAAUCCCCGGGCUCAACCUGGGAAUGGCAUUUGUGACUGUAGAGCUAGAGUACGGUAGAGGGGGAUGGAAUUCCGCGUGUAGCAGUGAAAUGCGUAGAGAUUUGGAGGAAUACCAGUGGCGAAGGCGGCCCCCUGGCACAACACUGACGCUCAGGUGCGAAAGCGUGGGGAGCAAACAGGAUUAGAUACCCGUGUAGUCCCUGAGCGGGCUGGCAAGGCGCAU